UUGACAUACUAAGAACUUUCCAGAGAUGGAUUGGUGCCUUCGGGAACUUAGAUACAGGUGCUGCAUGGCUGUCGUCAGCUCGUGUCGUGGAGAGUGUUGGGUUAAGUCCCGNAACGAGCGCAACCCUUUUCCUUAUUUGCCAGCGGGUCAUGCCGGGAACUUUAAGGAUACUGCCAGUGACAAACUGGAGGAAGGCGGGGACGACGUCAAGUCAUCAUGGCCCUUACGGCCAGGGCUACACACGUGCUACAAUGGUCGGUACAAAGGGGUUGCUACCUCGCGAGAGGAUGCUAAUCUCAAAAAGCCGAUCGUAGUCCGGAUCGCAGUCUGCAACUCGACUGCGUGAAGUCGGAAUCGCUAGUAAUCGCGGAUCAGAAUGCCGCGGUGAAUACGUUCCCGGGCCUUGUACACACCGCCCGUCACACCAUGGGAGUUUGUUGCACCAGAAGUAGGUAGUCUAACCGCAAGGAGGACGCUUACCACGGUGUGGCCGAUGACUGGGGUGAAGUCGUAACAAGGUAGGCGUAGAUGA
rnacentral:rRNA from 1 species